rnacentral:rRNA from 1 species
UCCAGACUCCUACGGGAGGCAGCAGUGGGGAAUAUUGCACAAUGGGCGCAAGCCUGAUGCAGCCAUGCCGCGUGUAUGAAGAAGGCCUUCGGGUUGUAAAGUACUUUCAGCGGGGAGGAAGGGGUUAAGGUUAAUAACCUUAGCCAUUGACGUUACCCGCAGAAGAAGCACCGGCUAACUCCGUGCCAGCAGCCGCGGUAAUACGGAGGGUGCGAGCGUUAAUCGGAAUUACUGGGCGUAAAGCGCUCGUAGGCGGUAUGUCAAGUCAAGGGUGAAAUCCCCGCGCUCAACGUGGGAACUGCCUUUGAAACUGGCAAACUGGAGUGUGUGAGAGGAUAGUGGAAUUCCAGGUGUAGGAGUGAAAUCCGUAGAUAUAUGGAGGAACAUCAGUGGCGAAGGCGACUAUCUGGCACAUAACUGACGCUGAGGAGCGAAAGCGUGGGUAGCAAACAGGAUUAGAUACCCCGGUAUGA